UACGUAGGGGGCGAGCGUUAUCCGGAAUCAUUGGGCGUAAAGGGUGCGUAGGCGGCUGCCCAAGCAGGGGGUAUAAGGCCAUGGCUCAACCAUGGACCGCCCCCUGAACUGGGCGGCUUGAGUGCAGGAGAGGAAAGCGGAAUUCCUAGUGUAGCGGUGAAAUGCGUAGAUAUUAGGAGGAACACCAGUGGCGAAGGCGGCUUUCUGGACUGCAACUGACGCUGAGGCACGAAAGCGUGGGGAGCAAACAG
rnacentral:rRNA from 1 species